rnacentral:rRNA from 1 species
CCCUUAGAUGUUCUGGGCCGCACGCGCGCUACACUGACGAAGUCAGCGAGCAUGUCCUACGCCGACAGGUGCGGGGAAUCUUGUCAAACUUCGUCGUGAUGGGGAUUGAUUAUUGAAAUUCUUGAUCAUCAACGAGGAAUUCCUAGUAAGCGCAAGUCAGCAGCUUGCGUUGAUUACGUCCCUGCCCUUUGUACACACCGCCCGUCGCUACUACCGAUUGAAUGGUUUAGUGAGAUCUUCGGAUUGGCGCCACUGCGGCUCAGCAAUGGGCUCGGUGGAUGCCGAAACGUUGAUCAAACUUGAUCAUUUAGAGGAAGUAAAAGUCGUAACA